rnacentral:rRNA from 1 species
GAUGAACGCUGGCGGCGUGCCUAAUACAUGCAAGUCGAGCGAACAGACGAGGAGCUUGCUCCUCUGACGUUAGCGGCGGACGGGUGAGUAACACGUGGAUAGCCUACCUAUAAGACUGGGAUAACUUCGGGAAACCGGAGCUAAUACCGGAUAAUAUAUUGAACCGCAUGGUUCAAUAGUGAAAGACGGUUUUGCUGUCACUUAUAGAUGGAUCCGCGCCGCAUUAGCUAGUUGGUAAGGUAACGGCUUACCAAGGCAACGAUGCGUAGCCGACCUGAGAGGGUGAUCGGCCACACUGGAACUGAGACACGGUCCAGACCCCUACGGGAGGCAGCAGUAGGGAAUCUUCCGCAAUGGGCGAAAGCCUGACGGAGCAACGCCGCGUGAGUGAUGAAGGUCUUCGGAUCGUAAAACUCUGUUAUUAGGGAAGAACAAAUGUGUAAGUAACUAUGCACGUCUUGACGGUACCUAAUCAGAAAGCCACGGCUAACUACGUG